ensembl:lncRNA
UAUUAUGAAAUAUUAAGCUGUUUUUAAUAGCAGGCUUUGUAUCUAUGUUUUGUUUUUCUCCAAUGUCUUUGUUACAGUAUGAGGAAGCGCACAGAUAAAUGAGCUUAACUAAACCGAGUAAACCUGAUUCUCCAGCUCUGCAUGAGUCACUCCUGUGUGUGUGUGUGUGUGUGUGUGUGUGUGUGUGUGUGUGUGUGUGUGUGUGCGUGUGUGUGUGUGUGUGGUGUGUGUGUGUUGCGGUGGAUGGCGGCCCGAGUGAGCGGCUAUGUGAGAGUUUGACUUGCUGGCACGGUGUGUGUAACACGGUGUGUGUGUGUGUGUGUGUGUGUGUGUGUGUGUGUGUGUGUGUGUGUGUGGUGUGUGUGUGUUGCGGUGGAUGGCGGCCCGAGUGAGCGGCUAUGUGAGAGUUUGACUUGCUGGCACGGUGUGUGUAACACGGUGUGUGUGUGUGUGUGUGUGUGUGUGUGUGUGUGUGUGUGUGUGUGUGUGGUGUGUGUGUGUUGCGGUGGAUGGCGGCCCGAGUGAGCGGCUAUGUGAGAGUUUGACUUGCUGGCACGGUGUGUGUAACACGGUGUGUGUGUGUGUGUGUGUGUGUGUGUCGAAGCGCUGUGUGGAGUCGGAGACGGCCCUUUGUGGGUGGAGCAUAGAAAAAGUGCUGGGGGUUUUUUCGCGGAUUUUUUCCACGAGAUGGAACAUCCGAGAUGUUUACACAGAAUGCUACACAUACAAAGAGUUACUCCCUCACACAACAAACGUUAUGAAUCCGAGACGUUUACACGUUUAAAAGUUGCAUUAAAUACCGAAAAAAUGGCAAAACGCCAACCGCUCACGGGCUCAACACGCCACGCUCACUCCUCCACCAUCCGCAGAGAGAGAGAGUGUGCUUUCACAUAAGACGCGUUUGCAGUGCGCUACUGAUCCGUGUACGGAAACGCACCGCAAAAGGAGAAUGUGAAUCUGGCCAGAGAGAGAGAGAGAGAGAGAGAGAGAGAGAGAGAGAGAGAGGAGAGAGAGAGAGGGAGAGAGAGAGAGAGAGACCAGCCCCCGGCCUCGGGGAGGGAGUUUCCUGAGUUACACUGCACAGCGUUUGACUCGUUAAUUCUACGUAUAGCUCCUAGAGAGAUGGCAGAAGUCGCUCGCGCACCCGCGUUGGCCAACGCGCCCAAGAGAACGCGGCUUCAAGGAGAAGCGCUGCGUGUCUCUCGCCGCUCUGAAGAAAGAUUUGGCUAUCGGCGGAUACGAUGUGGAGAACAACUUCCGCGUCAAGCUCGACGUCACUGGCACUCUGGUGCAGACCAAAGUUUCUUACAAGACCAAACAGCUCUUACAAGUUGAACAAGAAGCAGACCGAAGCCAAGAAGCCCGCAAGGAAAGCCGCGUACAAAGCGAAAAAAUCCGCGGCUAAGAAGCCCAAGAAGGUAGCAGCCAAGAAACCGGCGCGGCCAAUGGUGGCCAGAGUGAGCGGCUAUGUGAGAGUUUGACUUGCUGGCACGGUGUGUGUAACACGGUGUGUGUGUGUGUGUGUGUGUGUGUGUGUGUGUGUGUGUGUGUGUGUGUGUGUGUGUGUGUGUGUGUUACACCGGUCGAAGCGCUGUGUGGAGUCGGAGGCGGUCCUUUGUGGGUGAUGAACUGUCGGACCUGGAAAGUGACAACGACGCUGGAAGCAAAAUACUUCGACACUGCCGAAGAAAGCACCCGUCGGGAUUCUACUAGCGAGGUGCCUUGAUUUACUUCAAUCAUUUAGAGGAUACUAUUACAGCUUCGGUGAAUCUUCCACCAGAAUUUCCUCUCCAAAACAAUAGAGUGCUACAGUGGUAAGAAAGUCUGAGAUUGAGGAACAAGACACAACAAUGGAGCAUUCCCACCUCACUGAGAUGGAGAGUCAGGAGGCCCUGAUACAAGCACUGGCAAAUCUCCAACAGAUGCUGCAGAGCUUAAUGCAGCAACUGGAAUCAAAUCGCCAAAAAAAAGCCGUCUUGCAGGGGUCGGAGCAACAUCGCCAGAUUUUUCACUCCUUGACCCUCAGUGAGUUCGACAAUCUUUUUGCAUUUGCUCAGCAGCUCCAAGACAGUUGUCAAAAGUGCUCGCUAAGCAUUGUGACCCUCAAAGGAUUGUAGAGCUUGUGGUAAUAGAGCAGUUCAUGAAACAGCUUCCAGAAGGGACAUCCGACUGGGUUACACAUCACCAACCAGCAACAAUAAACGAGGCCAUCCAAUUGGCAGUGAACCACCUGCCACCUUUUGCUGUCUCUCCCCCUUAACAUCUCCCCUGCCUGAUACAUUGGAUAAGGUACAGAGGGUGAAGUUGAGGUGUGUCAUGGGAUCUUUCACAAACAUCCACUGGUGCUGAUCAUGAUCACUUUCUGGGGACAAAACCAGGUCCGGUCUGUGGUUAGUCCUCGUUUGAACCAUCCACUGUUUUUGGAUUUUGUCAAUAUGAUCAAUAAACAAUCUUUUUCAGUGGUCAGUAAUCUGUAUUUGGUUAUGAUUUUCAUUAGUGUGGGGCUUUUCAUUUUUGUGAUUAAAGAAAGUGGUCUGUUUUUUGGUUUUAUCUUUUCGUCUGUCUUUUGGUUUUGAAUUAUUCAUUUGUUUUUGAUUCAAGUAGUUGAUUCUGUUGUGUGAGAGUUUGACUUGUCGACACAGUGUGUGUGACACGGUGUGUGUGAGACACAGUUUGUGUGGUUUAUCUGUGUAAACAUCUCGGAUUAUCUCUGUGAGUUUAAUGUCAUAUGAUGACAGUCUGCCAUUCAGAUGUGGAUUCACAUUCUGUGUUAAAGUUUCAGUCCUGAUUCAGGAGUUGUACACAGCUGAUUGGUGCAGGUCUCCUACACUGGUGAUGAUGGUUACGGUGGUGGUG